rnacentral:rRNA from 1 species
CCUACGGGAGGCUGCAGUGAGGAAUAUUGGUCAAUGGACGAGAGUCUGAACCAGCCAAGUAGCGUGAAGGAUGACUGCCCUAUGGGUUGUAAACUUCUUUUAUAUGGGAAUAAAACGUUCCACGUGUGGGAUUUUGUAUGUACCAUAUGAAUAAGGAUCGGCUAACUCCGUGCCAGCAGCCGCGGUAAUACGGAGGAUCCGAGCGUUAUCCGGAUUUAUUGGGUUUAAAGUGAGCGUAGGUGGAUUGUUAAGUCAGUUGUGAAAGUUUGCGGCUCAACCGUAAAAUUGCAGUUGAAACUGGCAGUCUUGAAUACAGUAGAGGUGGGCGGAAUUCGUGGUGUAGCGGUGAAAUGCUUAGAUAUCACGAAGAACUCCGAUUGCGAAGGCAGUUCACUGGACUGCAACUGACACUGAGGCUCGAAAGUGUGGGUAUCAAACAGGAUUAGAUACCCCAGUAGUC